CCUACGGGUGGCAGCAGUGGGGAAUAUUGCACAAUGGGGGAAACCCUGAUCCAGCGACGCCGCGUGAGUGAAGAAGUCUCUCGGUAUGUAAAGCUCUAUCAGCAGGGAAGAAAAUGACGGUACCUGAUUAAUCCUCCCCGGCUAACUACGUGCCAGCAGCCGCGGGAAUACGCAGGGGGCAAGCGUUAUCCGGAAUUACUGGGCGUAAAGGGAGCGUAGACGGCAGCACAAGGCUGGCGUGAAAUGCCGGGGCUUAACCCCGGAACUGCUGUGGAAACUGGGCCGCUCGAGUGCAGGUGAGGUAAGUGGAAUUCCUAGUGUAGCGGUGAAAUGCGUAGAUAUUAGGCGGAACACCAGUGGCGAAGGCGGCUUACUGGGCUGUAACUGACGUUGAGGCUCGAAAGCGUGGGGAGCAAACAGGAUUAGAUACCCGUGUAGUC
rnacentral:rRNA from 1 species